rnacentral:rRNA from 1 species
UACGUAGGGGGCAAGCGUUAUCCGGAUUUACUGGGUGUAAAGGGAGCGUAGACGGUUUUGCAAGUCUGAAGUGAAAGCCCGGGGCUUAACCCCGGGACUGCUUUGGAAACUGUAGGACUAGAGUGCAGGAGAGGUAAGUGGAAUUCCUAGUGUAGCGGUGAAAUGCGUAGAUAUUAGGAGGAACACCAGUGGCGAAGGCGGCUUACUGGACUGUAACUGACGUUGAGGCUCGAAAGCGUGGGGAG